rnacentral:rRNA from 1 species
AAUGGGAUCUUUAGUAAUUGCGAAUGAACAAGGAUAUGCUUAGCUUGACAAAUGGAGCUAUUGGCUUUGAAUUGUAUUGUGGAAAUGUAUUACCAACAGAGGUGCAGGUGCCAGCCUAUUGAAAUAAAGCGUCAAUGAGGGUGAGAAUCCUGUUUGUCAUGUGCAGCCCUUUGUGCACGGUGUAUAUUUGCUGAGUCACACUCCUUGGCAUUGGAAUGCAAAGUGGGUGGUAAGUUUCAUGUAAAGGUAAACAUGCAAUUGAGACUGAUAGCACACAAGUACCAUGAGGGAAAUAUGAAAAGGACUUUGAAAAGAAUUAAUGAUUUGUAUUUGCUGAACACAAAGUAAACAGACUUGAUUUGCUUGGUGGGAGUGUUGCACUUGCUUGACAAGAGCUUUGGGCUGUGGGUGUAAUGAUUCUUUCUUUGCAUGCCAGUUUCUAUUUGUACAUCUGAUUACCUUUGCACAUGAAUGAUAAGUCUCCUGUGGGGGGUGGAUUGCAUGUGCAUGUAAUGAUUUGUGUUUUGAUAAAUGUGUCUGGUGUAUGUGUGUGUUCCUGUGCUUGGGGAUGCUUCCUUCCUUGGACUUACAAGCCCUGACACACACAUGCUGGCAAAAUGCUUCUGCUUGACCCGUCUUGAAACACGGACCAAGGAGUCUAACAGAUGUGCAAGUUUGAAGGUGGUAUACCUUUGUGUGCAAUGAAAGUGUCAGCUGGGAAUGUGCACCAGCACCCAAUUAAUUAGCGACAGAGGUUUGAGUUGGAGCAUAUCUAUUAGGACCCGAAAGAUGGUGAACUAUGCCUGAACAGAAUGAAUUCAGAAACUCUGAUGAGGUCGUAUCGAUACUGACGUGUCGUUCGUCAUGAAGGGCGAAAGACUAAUCGAA